AGAGCCGCGAACGGGUGAGUAACACGUGGGUGACCUGCCUCGAUGACCGGGACAACCCGAGGAAACUCGGGCUAAUACCGGAUGUGCUCCCAGCCAUAAUGGGUUGGGUGGAAAGGUAGCUUCGGCUUCCGCGUCGAGAUGGGCCCGCGGCGCAUUAGCUUGUUGGUGAGGUAACGGCUCACCAAGGCUUCGAUGCGUAGCUGGUCUGAGAGGACGAUCAGCCACACUGGGACUGAGACACGGCCCAGACUCCUACGGGAGGCAGCAGUGGGGAAUCUUGCGCAAUGCGCGAAAGCGUGACGCAGCAACGCCGCGUGGGGGAAGAAGGCCUUCGGGUUGUAAACCUCUUUCAGUUGGGACGAAGGUUGGGCGGUGAAUAGCCGUUCUGACUGACGG
rnacentral:rRNA from 1 species